AUUGAACGCUGGCGGCAGGCUUAACACAUGCAAGUCGAGCAGGGGAAGGUAGCUUGCUACCGGACCUAGCGGCGGACGGGUGAGUAAUGCUUAGGAAUCUGCCUAUUAGUGGGGGACAACAUCUCGAAAGGGAUGCUAAUACCGCAUACGUCCUACGGGAGAAAGCAGGGGAUCUUCGGACCUUGCGCUAAUAGAUGAGCCUAAGUCGGAUUAGCUAGUUGGUGGGGUAAAGGCCUACCAAGGCGACGAUCUGUAGCGGGUCUGAGAGGAUGAUCCGCCACACUGGGACGGAGGCACGGCCCAGACUCCUGCGGGAGGCAGCAGUGGGGAAUAUUGGACAAUGGGGGGAACCCUGAUCCAGCCAUGCCGCGUGUGUGAAGAAGGCCUUAUGGUUGUAAAGCACUUUAAGCGAGGAGGAGGCUACUUUAGUUAAUACCUAGAGAUAGUGGACGUUACUCGCAGAAUAAGCACCGGCUAACUCUGUGCCAGCCGCCGCCGUAA
rnacentral:rRNA from 1 species